UGGACCAAUGAUAAGAGUGUGUCAUGAACUAAAGUUUAUGACUGAUCUAAAUCUGUAUCCUAAGUUCCACA
rnacentral:snoRNA from 1 species